AUUGAACGCUGGCGGCAUGCUUUACACAUGCAAGUCGAACGGUAACAGGCCGCAAGGUGCUGACGAGUGGCGAACGGGUGAGUAAUGCAUCGGAACGUGCCCAGUCGUGGGGGAUAACGCAGCGAAAGCUGCGCUAAUACCGCAUACGAUCUCUGGAUGAAAGCGGGGGACCGAAAGGCCUCGCGCGAUUGGAGCGGCCGAUGUCAGAUGAGGUAGUUGGUGGGGUAAAGGCCCACCAAGCCAACGAUCUGUAGCUGGUCUGAGAGGACGACCAGCCACACUGGGACUGAGACACGGCCCAGACUCCUACGGGAGGCAGCAGUGGGGGAUUUUGGACAAUGGGCGCAAGCCUGAUCCAGCAAUGCCGCGUGCAGGAAGAAGGCCUUCGGGUUGUAAACUGCUUUUGUACGGAACGAAACGGUCCGGGUUAAUACCCUGGGCUAAUGACGGUACCGUAAGAAUAAGCACCGGCUAACUACGUGCCAGCAGCCGCCGUAA
rnacentral:rRNA from 1 species